GUAUCGCUUCAGCGGUACAUAUACUAAAAUUGGAACGAUACAGAGAAGAUUAGCUUGUCUCCUGCGCAAGGAUAAUUGGCAACAACCUUUACUUAAUUCACUAACUC
rnacentral:snRNA from 1 species